rnacentral:rRNA from 1 species
CUUNUGUACUCGCGACCAUCUCGCUUAAGUUGAUCAUGGCUCAGCUGAGCGGUNACGGCAGGCCUAACACAUGCAAGUCGAGCCGGAUGAAUGGGAGCUUGCUCCCGGAUUCAGCGGCGGACGGGUGAGUAAUGCCUAGGAAUCUGCCUGGUAGUGGGGGACAACGUUUCGAAAGGAACGCUAAUACCGCAUACGUCCUACGGGAGAAAGCAGGGGACCUUCGGGCCUUGCGCUAUCAGAUGAGCCUAGGUCGGAUUAGCUAGUUGGUGGGGUAAAGGCCUACCAAGGCGACGAUCCGUAACUGGUCUGAGAGGAUGAUCAGUCACACUGGAACUGAGACACGGUCCAGACUCCUACGGGAGGCAGCCAGUGGGGAAUAUUGGACAAUGGGCGAAAGCCUGAUCCAGCCAUGCCGCGUGUGUGAAGAAGGUCUUCGGAUUGUAAAGCACUUUAAGUUGGGAGGAAGGGCAGUAAGUUAAUACCUUGCCUGUAUAUUGACGUUACCAACAGACAUAAGCACCGGCUAACUUCGUGCCAGCAAGCCGCCGGAUAAAUACGAACGGGUGC